AAAUCAAGCGUAAAAGAGCAUUUGAUGGAUGCCUUGGCAUUGGAAGGCGACGAAGGACGUGGUAGGCUGCGAUAAGCUGUGGGGAAGAGUCAACAUCUUUUGAUCCACAGAUUUCCGAAUGGGGAAACCCAUCACUUUAGUGAUAUCUUUAUCUGAAUUCAUAGGAUGAAGAGGCAAACCUGGGGAACUGAACCAUCUCAUUACCCAGAGGAAAGGACAUCAACCGAGACUCCGUUAGUAGUGGCGAGCGAACGCGGACCAGGCCAGUAAUUUAGGACAAACAACAAGAAUGAUUUGGAAAAAUCAGCCAAAGAAGGUGAUAGCCCUGUAAUGGUAAUGUUGUCUUAAAUUCUUGAGUAGGACGGGACACGUGAAAUCCUGUUUGAACGUGGGGGGACCACCCUCCAAGCCUAAGUACUCUCCAGUGACCGAUAGUGAACAAGUACCGUGAGGGAAAGGUGAAAAGAACCCCAAUGAGGGGAGUGAAAUAGUAUCUGAAAUUGAAUGCUUACAAGCAGUCGGAGCAGCCUUGAGCUGUGACGGCGUACCUCUUGUAUAAUGAGUCAGCGACUUUGUCUAUAAAGCAAGCUUAAGCCGUUAGGUGUAGGCGCAGCGAAAGCGAGUCUGAAUAGGGCGACUAAGUUUUAUGGAUAAGACCCGAAACCGAGUGAUCUAGCCAUGAGCAGGCUGAAGGUGCAGUAAUAUGUACUGGAGGGCCGAACCAUAUACUGUUGCAAAAGUUGUGGAUGACUUGUGGCUAGGGGUGAAAGGCCAAUCAAACUCGGAAAUAGCUGGUUCUCCGCGAAAACUAUUUAGGUAGUGCGUUGCGUGCUGACCUUUGGGGGUAGAGCACUGAAUGGGCUAGGGGGGAGCGAUCCUUACCAAACCCAAUCAAACUCCGAAUACCAAAGGGUGAAGCGCAGCAGACAGACAGUGGGUGCUAAGGUCCAUUGUCGAAAGGGAAACAGCCCAGACCGCCGUCUAAGGUCCCCAAGUUAUGUGCUAAGUGGGAAAGGAUGUGGGGCGACCAAAACAGCCAGGAGGUUGGCUUAGAAGCAGCCAUCCUUUAAAGAAAGCGUAAUAGCUCACUGGUCUAAUUAAGUUGCCCUGCGCCGAAAAUGUAACGGGGCUUAAGCCAUACACCGAAGACGCGGGCGUCAAGCUUGUUCUUGGCGCGGUAGCGGAGCGUUCCGUAGGCCGUUGAAGGAAGAUCUGUGAGGACUUCUGGAGGUAUCGGAAGUGAGGAUGCUGAUAUGAGUAACGUAAAGGCAUGUGAAAAACAUGCCCGCCGAAAGUCCAAGGGUUCCUGCGCAAGGGUAAUCCACGCAGGGUUAGCCGGCCCCUAAGGCGAGGACGAAAGUCGUAGUCGAUGGGAAUCAGGUCAAUAUUCCUGAGCCUCUUGGUGGUGACGAAGGUCGUAAGUUGUUCCUGCUUAUUUGGAUUGUAGGGGCAGCGAAGAACUUCCAGGAAAUAGCCCCAAGAAUAAGACCGUACCCCAAACCGACACUGGUGGACUGGUAGAGCAUACUAAGGCGCUUGAGAAAAUGAUGUUGAAGGAACUCGGCAAAUUGACCUCGUAACUUCGGGAGAAGAGGUACCUGCCAAAGGGCAACCUUUGACAGGUGGCACAAAAGAGGGGGGAGCGACUGUUUAUCUCAAACACAGGACUCUGCAAAGGUGAAAACCGACGUAUAGGGUCUGACGCCUGCCCGGUGCUGGAAGGUUAAGAGGAGGUGUGCAAGCAUCGAAUUGAAGCCCCAGUGAACGGCGGCCGUAACUAUAACGGUCCUAAGGUAGCGAAAUUCCUUGUCGGGUAAGUUCCGACCUGCACGAAUGGCGUAACGAUUUCCCCGCUGUCUCCAACAUCAACUCAGUGAAAUUGAAUUCUCGGUGAAAAUGCCGAGUUCCUGCGGUUAGACGGAAAGACCCUGUGCACCUUUACUAUAGCUUUGCAGUGGUAUAAGGAAUGUGAUGUGUAGGAUAGGUGGGAGUCUAUGAACCUUGGGCGCCAGCUUGAGGGGAGACACCCUUGAAAUACCACCCUUUGCAUUUUUUAUGCCUAACUGAGUCCCGUGAAGCCGGGACCAGGACCCUGCAUGGUGGGUAGUUUGACUGGGGCGGUCGCCUCCCAAAGAGUAACGGAGGCGCGCAAAGGUGGGCUCAAGCCGGUCGGAAAUCGGCUGUUGAGUGCAAUGGCAUAAGCCUGCCUGACUGUGAGACUGACAAGUCAAGCAGAGACGAAAGUCGGUCAUAGUGAUCCGGUGGUCCCGCGUGGAAGGGCCAUCGCUCAACGGAUAAAAGGUACGCCAGGGAUAACAGGCUGAUCUCCCCCAAGAGUUCACAUCGACGGGGAGGUUUGGCACCUCGAUGUCGGCUCAUCACAUCCUGGGGCUGGAGCAGGUCCCAAGGGUUUGGCUGUUCGCCAAUUAAAGUGGUACGUGAGCUGGGUUCAGAACGUCGUGAGACAGUUCGGUCCCUAUCUGCCGUGGGUGUUGGAAAAUUGAGAGGGCCUGUCCCUAGUACGAGAGGACCGGGAUGGACACACCUCUGGUGUACCAGUUGUGAUGCCAAUUGCAAUGCUGGGUAGCUACGUGUGGAAUAGAUAACCGCUGAAAGCAUCUAAGCGGGAAGCUAGCCUCGAAAUAAGUUUUCCCUAUGAGGAUCGUGGGAGACCACCACGUUGAUAGGCUGGGUGUGGAAGAAGUGUAAGCUUUGGAGCUAACCAGUACUAAUCAUCCCAUUGGCUUGAUUUAC
rnacentral:rRNA from 1 species